rnacentral:tRNA from 2 species
GCGGAUGUGGCGGAAUUGGCAGACGCGCAAGAUUUAGGAUCUUGUAUCAUUUAUGAUGUAAGGGUUCAAGUCCCUUCAUCCGCA